UGUUCCGGUUUCGGGUUGUGCUGUCAGUUGCCUUUUCCCUGCACAGCCAAAACAGCAGAGCCAAGCGGAGUCGCGUCGCGGUCGUGCCUGUGUCUGUGUCUGCGUUUUUGUGACUGUGACUGUGCGUGCGUGUGUGUGCUUGUUUAUUUGUAUGUGUGUGUGCGUGUGUGUGUUAGUUGUGUUGUCUGUCGUCGCUUAACACUGCGCGCGCGUUUUGUCAGUGUAUACGUGCGAGCGUGCGUCUGUGUAUGUGUGCCUGAGUGAGUCUGUGUGCAUGUGCGUGUGCUCGUGAUUGCUCGAAACAGUGUGACCAUACAUCUAUAUAUGUAUAUAAUUAUAAAUAUAUACAUGCACUAAUACAUAUAAGCACACGCGUACAUGGCAACAUUUAAGCGCCCAGCAGGAUGCUCGAGCAGCAACAGCAGCUCAAAAAUAAUAAUAAUAAUAAAUUAAAGCACAUACAGCACUACUAACAGUCUUCAAAACAACUGCAAACAAUGGAUGUUAGAACUAAUUAGACAAAUAAAUUUAAAUAAAAUCAUA